GGGCCGGUCGUCUAGUCUGGUAGGAUAGAGGGCGUCGUCCAAUCCCUUGGCAUGGGACAGGUCGGGGGUUCAAAUCCCCCCCGGUCCA
rnacentral:tRNA from 1 species